UCUAACUAACUACCAUGCGGAUUCCACCCUAUGGCUAACCCCCCUCAUUUCGAAAAUAAUUUGACAGACCCCCUCGGCAUACAUGAAGUACCUAAACUGCCAUUAAUAGCAAUUUUCCUAAACGUGAAUGUUGCCAUGUAUACGUAAUACCGGCGUUAUAAUUCCCUCUGAAUGCGGAAAACGUGCGAAGUAUCAGGAAAACUGAUUUUCGUGAUUUCGUGAGAUUUUCUUUGUGUCAAACCUUUCGAUUUUCUUCUACGGUGUAAUUUGUGGAUCUCUGUAUAAUACAUUUUCGAAUACGCUGACAUCGUCUCUGUAAGUGUUGUUUAAAUUUUAACAUAUCUCAAUUGAUUGUCGACAAAUAAUUAUGUAAUAUGUAAAUUGUUUAUAAUUUUUGUAGAU
rnacentral:lncRNA from 1 species